GUGCUCUGUAAUAAGGAUAAAAGUAUCUGCCUCCGGAAUCAGAGCAGCAUGUAUACCAAGGUUGGAAGGAUACAGAGAAGAUUAGCAUGGCCCCUGCACAAGAAUGACAUGCAAAUAUGUGAAGCAUUACAUAUUUUU
ensembl:snRNA U6 U6 spliceosomal RNA